GAAGACGGCUCCCAGGGGAGAUGAGAAAACUGAGACAUAGAACUUUUAAUGUGCCCCCUCCUCUCCAAGCCCAGAGAGAGUCCAUGGCAGAACGAGGGUCUGGAUGAUUCACAGCCCAGGUUAGGAUGGCAGCUGUUGCAAACAGCUCAGACGAGGUGCCUACCCAGGGAGUAAAUGGAGCUGCCCACCAACAGCCACGUGGGUGGGUCUGGAAGUGGAUCCUCCAGCCCAGUCAGGGCU